rnacentral:lncRNA from 1 species
UUUCAAAUAACCAGAAGUUGACUGUAGCUGGCUUUAGACAGGAAGCGUGAGUACAGAAUCCAGCUGCUUCCACCCUGGGAGCAAGUCUGGGCCGGUAGUCCUGGAUUUUCUGGCCUGAGGCCUCAGCCUCCUGGAUUACACAAGCAGAACCCUCCUGGGUCCUGCUCUUCCUGACUCUCCUCUCCUGAUGGGAGCAAGGGGCUCCCCUGUCCUGGAUGCACUCCUUGAAGCAGCUGCUCUGCCUGAUCCGCCUGCCUGGGAGUCCUGGACCACAAGUGAGGCUUCAAGAAUAAGCCAGACUUGAAUAUCAAAGUCCCAAGGAAUGAAAUGAAGAAACACAUGCUGGCUUUGAACCCAGGAGGCAGCCCCAUGCCACAGCAGCCCCAGAGGAAAAAAAUCCAGACACAAAAAGAAAAAGUAAACUCUGCGUGGGACUGCUCAUUUUAAUUUCCAGAAGAGAAAAGAGCCUUCCUGACUCAGAGACAUGUCACAGUGAAGGCUACCCAGCAACCACAGGCCUGUCUGUAACACGUGGUGAGCACCCUGGAGGUUGUGGCAAGGCUGUGGGCCUGGAGAAGGGGAGCCAGCAGCACGGCACUGGCCAAAGACUGGACCCCCGGCCAGGCUCCCUGGUGUCUGACAUGGCUUCUCCGAAGCAAAACAUCUUUUCUGCAAAAACGCAGGAACAUGAGGGCAGGCUGUGUGUAUCUGUUCACUUCUGUGUCCCCAGCCCCUAGCAUGUGCCAGACACUCACUGAGCAUUUGUGUAGUUUGUUGAAUAAUGACUCUUUUUACAAACUCCCUUGAAGGGGAGCAAGAAUUAUCCCUCUGCCCUCUAGAUCCUUCUGACGGGUCUAAGAAUUAAAUUUACGUGAGACAGAAUAACAGGAGAAAUCAAACAAAUUUAAUAACAUGUAUACAUGGGAGAAACCGGGGAAAACUGAGUAGCUCACCAAAAUGGCAGAAGCCACCACCUUAAAUACCAUCUUCAGCCAAAGACAAAGGAGGGUGUUGCGGGUAGUGGUUUGGGACUUCAAAGGGGAGGAGGACAAUUCACAUGGAGAUGGAAAAGCAAAUGUUUGGUAAACAAGUGUUUGCUGAGCCAUCUGUAGACAUGGGACCCAAGAGAGAACUUUGAUAAAACAGGCCUCGCUAGAUGACUUCCUGUCUACCACACCUAGAGUUGUCUAUGGUGAUAGUUCCUUCCUGGGACAGACCUUCUAUCUUAAAUUCUUUUAGGCAGUUAGAGGGAAGGUCAAAGUUUCCUUCUGAGUCUUUUGUUCUUAAAAAUAAUCAAGCCUGGGGGCUAGUCCCAUGGCCUUGUGGUUAAGUUCGGUGAGCUCCGCUUUGGAGGUCCAGGUUCAGUUCCUGGGCACGGAUAUACACCACUCAUCAGCAGCCAUACUGUGGCGGGAAUCCACAUGCAAAAUAGAGGAAGGUUGGCACAGAUGUGAGCUCAGAGCCAAUCUUCCUCAUAAGUAAAUAAAUAAAUAAUCAAGCCAAAGAGACACAAUUUUGGGUGGCAAAUUCUGAUCCCCCACACCCUUAGAUGUUGACAGCUAGAGCUCAAUUUGAGCAUUUUCUUGUGAAGGAGCGACUGCCUCCAGGGAUGUAUUCAUGCUUAGCGGGCACUCUUCCUGGGUAGGAGUCAG